GUUUGCAUAUCACAAGACUUCUUAAUUCUGCAAACAGAGAUUUCAGCAUGGUGCAGUCAAAUUCUUUCGUCUCCGCCCUCUCUGCUUCUGAGAUUGGGUACUGUAAAGCUCACCUCUUCACCUGCCAUGUCUUUUACUUCCCAUAUAUCAGAUGGAUUCUGCUGGACCAGUAACACCUAGGGCACCAACACCAUUCAGCACCACCAGCACACUGGACCCAACAACCGAAAUGAGACCAAGUAAAAGAGACCUACAGGAGACUAGACCAUUAGGUGCCACAGGCAGAGAAGAGGAGGGACUGCGGUGCACCAGUGAUGAAGGCUCCUGUAAUGGCAGAGAAAUUAUUACAUGUGUUAAUUUGAGAUUGGUCCAAGAUGCAGAGUUCAGAUCCAAAUCCAAAGUUCUCUUGUGAUUACACAACUCAGAUGAGAAAACAAUGAUGCUGAAUGUGUAGGUAUACAUAGAUAGUAUCAUUAUGUAUUUGUACUGUGGUAGCACCUAGCAGCCGCAGUCAUGGAUCAGUGCC